UGGCACAGCACUGUGAGCAUACUAAAGCCCACAGAACUUUACACUUUGAAAGGGUGCUGUAUGGCUGGACAUGGAAGCAUAUGGUUUAAAGACAGGUCACGGGCCCCAGCUCCACUCUGCCAGGCACACGUGCUCCAGUUUGGACUCAGUACGAGCUGCAGCAGCAGCAGCAGCAGCAGCAGCAGCAGCAGCGAGAGAGAGGAGCAGAGAUCAGCUCUGAAGAACAUCUGGACUCAGGAACUCAUUGCUGACCACAGGCAAGCCAGGCCUGCAGCACCUCUGGGAGUUCCAGGAGGAAAUGAGGGUGAAGGGGGGGGGCCAGAUGGAAGGCUGCGGAGGAAAAGUAGACGGCAUCGUGCGUCCUGGCUACCUGCCCCACAUUGACCGUCAGCUGGAACCUUACACCCUCACAGGCUGUACCUCACAGCGACUCUGGGCUGUCUUUCCAUUCACAAUUAGGAAGGCACACUCUGUUGGCUCUGCCCAGCUGUCUGGGACCCCUCGGACCAAGCUUGCGGCAGAAGAAGGCUGUCAUCUUAAAGGGACCCCCUGCCCAGUUCCUGCUCUCCCCAGCUAGCCCUGUCAACAUGCCCAGGCAUUUUA